AUGGGGUCCUCGCCAACAUCGUACAAGAAGGCCACGGCGGCGCUGGAUGAGGCGGCGAGGGCGAGGCUGCGCGGCCCGUUCUUCGGCGGCACCACGCCGUCGUCCGCCUCCGGGCAGGAGGACGUCGACGACGACGACGGCCUGGUGGAGCUGGUGCACGAGUUCUACAACGGGUACGGCGAAGACGCCGUCGCCAAGGAAGCCGUGGCGCCGCGGCCCGCUAGUGCCACGUGGGUCGACGCGCUGCAGGCGGCGCUGGCAGAUGCGACGGCCGACGCGGCAGCGGCGCGUAUCCGCGCCGAGGCGGAGCGCGCCGUCGUGGGUGCGGGGCCGAACGUCGCUGGCGGUGAAGCGGUCAGGAAGCUCGUCGCCGCCCGGCUCCGUGCGAGAGGGUUCGAUGCCGGUGUCUGCAGAUCGUCGUGGGAAAGAGGAAGCAGCGUGCCGGCGGGCAGCCACGAGUACGUGGACGUGGUGAUCGCAGCCGGCGCGUCGACGUCGCGGUACAUCGUCGAGGUCAACCUCGCCAUCGAGUUCGAGACGGCGAGGCCCAGCGCCGAGUACCAGGAGCUCCUCCUCGCCCUGCCCACGGUGCUCGUGGCGAGGCCGGAGACGUUCAAGGAGGUGGCCGCGGCAAUGUGCGCGGCGGCAGCGGAGUCCAUCCGGGGCGCGGGCAUGCACGUGCCGCCAUGGAGGCGCGCGCGGUACGUGCAGGCCAAGUGGUCCGGCAAGUACAAGCGAGCGGCGGCCGUGGCCGUGGCCGCGGCCGCGCCGUCGGGGUCGCCAUGGGAAGCUGUGGCGAGCAGCACUGCAGCGGCCGAAGCUCGCCCGCGCCGCGGUGUGCCGGCAUCCGGCGGCCCGAAGCAUUGCGGGAUGGAGAUGGGCCGCAGGGAGAUGGCGUUCGGGAGCACGAGGCCGCUGAUGUUCAGAGGGUUGUGA
rnacentral:rRNA from 1 species